rnacentral:sRNA from 1 species
AGUGCAGCCGCGUGCAUGAAUGAAAACGCCGCCGGGCGCUUCUAGUCGGACAAAAUGCAGCCGAGAACUCCGCUCGUUCUGUGCGUUCUCCUGUCCCAGUAGAGACGGCGUUUCACCGUGUUAGCCAGGAUGGUCUUGAUCUCCUGAUCUCGUGAUCCGCCAGCCUCGGCCUCCCAAAGUGCUGGGAUUAUAGGCGUGAGCCACCGCGCCCGGCCUAUCGUGCCCUUUCAACAGAUGAAGAAACUGGGCCAAACAACCCACCUGCACUGCAUGGUUCCCCCAGCAAGAACAUCCCAGUGAGAAUGGCCCACAGAUGCCUGGGCGUGACUCACCUGCAGCUUCAACCAUGCAGGCUGAAGUGCAGUGGCGUGAUCUCGGCUCACUGCAACCUCCAUCUCCAGAGUUCAAGCGAUUCUCGUGCCUCAGCCUCCCAAGUAGCCAGGAUUGCAGGGCCAAGAUGUCUAAAGUUGACCUUCAGUCUAGUCCAACAUCUGGAAAUCAGGACUAAAGCCACCAGCACAGAUAAAAAUGGAGA